rnacentral:lncRNA from 1 species
UAUUUUGGAAGCAUGGUUCCAAGUGAACCACAAGACGUCACGUGGUGUAGUUUCAUAAAAGGUUCUAAUAUACCUUGAGAAUAGUAUUACUUAUUGUGUUCCAGUUUAUAUAUAUAUAUAAAUUUUAAACCCUUAAAUUAUUUAUAUUUUUAAAUUAAGUUAAUUUAUACAAAUAUUCAAAUAUUUAAAGUUUAUCCUUAACUUUUCAAAUUCUUUCAUUUAAUUAAUAAGGUUGUUUUUUUUAGUUUUAAAGUCAAAAUAGAAAAGAAAAUUUUUGUAUUAUGUAAACAACAUAUAGCACAAAAAAAUUUUAUCGUUCUUACAACUUAAAAAUAAAUUAAAAAUUAUAUAUUAAUGUUGCAUAAAAAUUAUAUUACAUAUAAUUAUAAUAUUAAAAAUAAAUGACAUUAAUUUAAUAAAAUUUUAAAAAUAUUGUUAUAACUCCAUGCAAAGCACGGGUCUGUUACUAGUUACCUACUAAUUUCAAGAAUAGAGGAGUUUGAGUUGUACCAAAAACACAAAAGCUGUAUCGUGCCGAUAUCUUGCUGGCACGAUACGGCACGGUGGAUACAGCCCGUACCGAUGGGCACUUUAAUCCUUGGUGCCAGUAUGCCCCAAGUUCCAAUACUUCAAUGCUAGGUCAUGAUAAUGUUUGCUUAUCAUCAAAAUGUUAGAAAAUUGCGUACGGUAAAAACACAGCAGAAAUAAAAUCAAACAAAUUUGAUUUUUGAAACUUGAGAUCCGAUCUCAAAAACCACGCAAUUAGAAUCUCUCAUGUUCUUUAAGAUUAAAAGAGAAAAGGAAGAUCCAAUCUUUACCUUUGCGCGGGUAGAUCUUCACCGCAAUUUGAUGAUAGCAGAAUUCAGUUCUCUUGAAGCCGCACACGCGUCCAACCUCUAUACGUAUCCACACAAGGUUGGUGAUUUGAUCGAUGUCCUCACUGGGGUGCUAACUCCCUUGCAAAGAACGUCUUUCUUGCUAGAGAAAAAAGAGAAGGAAAGAGAGAGGAAGAGAGAUGACGGCUAGAGUUUGCUAAAAACUCUCGUAUAUUAUAUAGAGUAUAAUCCUCUUUUUAAUAAUAUAAUAACCAUUAAGAACAAGUACAAAUCUAGAUUUAAAUUUAUCCUUUCCUUAAUUGGUUAGAUCGAUCAAAUCCUAAUUUGAUUCGACUUGACCUUCAUCCUAAUUUGAUCAUAUCAAAUGAAUAAUGCAAUAUUUGCACAUGUCAUCUCAUAAUUUACAAACUAUUAGUAAGUCCUCUCUUGUAACAUUUACACCUUAAUACCACUAAUUUGUAACAAUUACAAAUUAGUCCAAUUAUCAUUCUAUUGACAAUUAGGUCCUCCGACGAUUCAAUAAUCGCGAUCUAGCUAUUCGAUCAAUCACAAGCUCUUAUGUGUGUGACCCUAUAGGUUCUAUUCUAUCUGGUAGUGAGAUAUAUUUUGAUCACUAUCAAUAAUAUCACUGAAACUCCUUUCAAUGGAUCAGAACAAUUCCAACUCAGCCCAAUGAGAAUUAUUGAUCAUCUAGAUAAUUCUCAUGAGUCUCACAAUCCACCAGUGACGCCUAGCAGCAUGUAGUGGCAUUCCAGUAGAAUGGAAUAAUGAACCUACCGUGUGAUACAAUCCUUCUAUCAUGAGUCCCGACUAGACGGAGGUUAUGGAACAACUCGUCAAACCCCAUCGUCUGUCAUAUGUUAAAUUUAUUCGACUCGAGUUUCUAAUAUCGGAAACCCUUUUCCGCUAUUUAUUCUGCCCUGGCCAAGGUCUUCUAAACUCGGUCUCAUAAAUCACAUAGGACUAACACCCCUAUCUACCAAGGGAGAUAGAUUCCAUCUAAGUGCGCAUCCUAUUCCUACAAUGAACCUACUGCAGCCAACAUACACCGCAAGGACCCGAAUGGCUAGGGACCAAGUGUAUGUACAGUCAAACUACAGUAACCUCAUUGUAAAUAGCCGAGGCACCGCAGGUCAAAGGACCAGUCACACUACUGCAA